AGGUCCCACGUUCAGAUUGCAGGCUGCAACCCGCCUGCAUGAAGUCGGAAUUGCUAGUAAUCGCGGAUCAGCAUGCCGCGGUGAAUACGUUCCCGGGCCUUGUACACACCGCCCGUCACACCAUGGGAGUUGGAAAUGCCCGAAGUCAGUGACCCAACCGGAAGGAGGGAGCUGCCGAAGGCAGGUUCGAUAACUGGGGUGAAGUCGUAACAAGGUAAC
rnacentral:rRNA from 1 species